rnacentral:rRNA from 1 species
CCUAGGGAGGCAGCAGUGGGGAAUUUUGGACAAUGGGCGCAAGCCUGAUCCAGCAAUGCCGCGUGCAGGAUGAAGGCCUUCGGGUUGUAAACUGCUUUUGUACGGAACGAAACGGUGAGCUCUAAUAAAGUUUGCUAAUGACGGUACCGUAAGAAUAAGCACCGGCUAACUACGUGCCAGCAGCCGCGGUAAUACGUAGGGUGCGAGCGUUAAUCGGAAUUACUGGGCGUAAAGCGUGCGCAGGCGGUUAUAUAAGACAGAUGUGAAAUCCCCGGGCUCAACCUGGGACCUGCAUUUGUGACUGUAUAGCUAGAGUACGGUAGAGGGGGAUGGAAUUCCGCGUGUAGCAGUGAAAUGCGUAGAUAUGCGGAGGAACACCGAUGGCGAAGGCAAUCCCCUGGACCUGUACUGACGCUCAUGCACGAAAGCGUGGGGAGCAAACAGGAUUAGAUACCCUGGUAGUCCACGCCCUAAACGAUGUCAACUGGUUGUUGGGUCUUCACUGACUCAGUAACGAAGCUAACGCGUGAAGUUGACCGCCUGGGGGUAAGGUACGGCCGCGAGUAGUUAACGUUACGAAGAAGUUAGNGGCGNGAGAGNGCGACGGACGACGACGAGGGAGGAGG